GGAAGAGAAAUGAAUGUAUUAUGCAGUUCCUCUGAGAGCUUUCUCUUUAACUGGGUAUAGCACACAAACAGGUGACAAUUAACAAACAGUAGGAAGACUUUUUUUUUCCCCCCUAAAAGCUUAAGAGAUGUUACAAAAUAGCAGAUGAGCAGGGAUUAUUUUCUGAACUGUACAGCCACGGAUGCAGCCAGAACAAAACCACACAGGAGAAGAAGGGUUUGGUCUUGGGCCUGACUGGCAAAGAGCUGAGCAUUGCUUUCAUCAUUUCCACUUCUGGCCUAUCAUCUCAGUGUUCCAGGUGCCUACUGAGCUCC